GUAGGAAGACCCUUGUCUAAGUCCACCGAUUCCACUUCGUAAUGCCCGUUGGGCUAUACCCCGUUUAUCUGUCUGUACACAUCAUCUGUCAGUUAUCAGUUGUGAGGCCCCGUGUGUACUGUUCAAUAAGAGUGUUUUGUAAAGUGCUCUGCUAAGACCCCUGUAUUGUGAGCCAGCUGGCCCAAUCAUUGUCAUAUUUCUCUAUGCAUCCGUUUGUUUUGCUUGCCAUCCUCUCGUAUGCGCUUAUUCUGUCCAUUUUGGAAUGUAUACUAUCUAUCGGAGGGAUCUGUUUGUUUUUACAGUUGCCAGCCAGGACUGUUUUGGCUAUCGCUUUGCUGAGUCCAUACACACACACACAGACUGCUGAGUUCAUA